GACGAACGCUGGCGGCGUGCCUAACACAUGCAAGUCGAGCGAUGAAGUUUCCUUCGGGAAACGGAUUAGCGGCGGACGGGUGAGUAACACGUGGGUAACCUGCCUCAUAGAGGGGAAUAGCCUCCCGAAAGGGAGAUUAAUACCGCAUAAUAUUACAGUUUCGCAUGAAACAGUAAUUAAAGAAGCAAUCCGCUAUGAGAUGGACCCGCGGCGCAUUAGCUAGUUGGUGAGGUAACGGCUCACCAAGGCGACGAUGCGUAGCCGACCUGGGAGGGUGAUCGGCCACAUUGGGACUGAGACACGGCCCAGACUCCUACGGGAGGCAGCAGUGGGGAAUAUUGCACAAUGGGGGAAACCCUGAUGCAGCAACGCCGCGUGAGUGAUGACGGUCUUCGGAUUGUAAAGCUCUGUCUUUGGGGACGAUAAUGACGGUACCCAAGGAGGAAGCCACGGCUAACUACGUGCCAGCCGCCGCCGUAAUAC
rnacentral:rRNA from 1 species